CUCACUCAUUGAAGAGAACAGCUACUCAUUCUAAGUGGGUCCCAUUCAUUUUUUGAACAGUUUAAGAAAGUGUGUUGUACAUGGACGUUCCCUGGGCUGAACAUGUGAGUUUCCAUGAACUGGGAUCUUCCACAGAACUGGG